GACGAACGCUGGCGGCGUGCCUAACACAUGCAAGUCGAACGAAGCUUGACUACGGACUCCUUCGGGACGAAGUAAGAUAUGACUGAGUGGCGGACGGGUGAGUAACGCGUGAGUAACCUGCCUUUCAGAGGGGGAUAACAGCCGGAAACGGCUGCUAAUACCGCAUAAUGCAUUGGAUUCGCAUGUUUCUGAUGCCAAAGAUUUUAUCGCCGAAAGAUGAGCUCGCGUCUGAUUAGCUAGUUGGCGGGGUAACGGCCCACCAAGGCGACGAUCAGUAGCCGGACUGAGAGGUUGAACAGCCACGUUGGGACUGAGACACGGCCCAG
rnacentral:rRNA from 1 species